rnacentral:rRNA from 1 species
UACCUGCAGCUCAAGUGGUGGCCGUUAUUAUUGGGCCUAAAACGUCCGUAGCCGGUUUAUUAAAUGCCUGGGUAAAUCGGGCCGCUUAACGGUUCGAAUUCCGGGUAGACUGAUAAACUUGGGACCGGGAGAAGCUAGAGGUACUCCUGGGGUAGAGGUGAAAUUCCGUAAUCCUAGGGGGACCACCAGUGGCGAAGGCGUCUAGCUAGAACGGGUCUGACGGUGAGGGACGAAGCCCUGGGGCGCAAACCGGAUUAGAUACCCGGGUAGUCCAGGGUGUAAACGCUGCUUGCUUGAUGUUAGUCGGGCUCCGAGCCCGAUUAGUGUCGGAGAGAAGUUGUUAAGCAAGCUGCCUGGGAAGUACGGCCGCAAGACUGAAACUUAAAGGAAUUGGCGGGGAGCACUGCAACGGGUGGAGCGUGCGGUUU